GCUACCAUGCAAGUCGAGCGAGAGGGGCUUCGGCCCUGAAAGCGGCGCACGGGUGAGUAACACGUAGGUAAUCUUCCCUCGAGUGGUGGACAACUCUUCGAAAGGAGAGCUAAUACAGCAUAAUACCGCGCCUCUUCGGAGGUGUGGCCAAAGCGGGGGAUCUUCGGACCUCGCGCUUGAGGAUGAGCCUGCGGCCCAUCAGCUAGUUGGCGGUGUAAAGGACCACCAAGGCUAAGACGGGUAGCUGGUCUGAGAGGAUGAACAGCCACACUGGAACUGAGACACGGUCCAGACUCCUACGGGAGGCAGCAGUGGGGAAUCUUGCGCAAUGGGCGAAAGCCUGACGCAGCGACGCCGCGUGAGCGAUGAAGGCCCUCGGGUUGUAAAGCUCUGUGGAGAGGGAAGAAUAAGAGUACGUUAACACCGUGCUCGAUGACGGUACCUCUUUAGCAAGCACCGGCUAACUCUGCGCCAGCAGCCGCGGUAAGACAGAGGGUGCAAACGUUGUUCGGAAUUACUGGGCGUAAAGCGCGUGUAGGCGGCGACGCAAGUCGGAUGUGAAAGCCCAUGGCUCACCAUGGAAGUGCACCCGAAACUGCGUCGCUAGAGUCUCGGAGAGGAAGGUGGAAUGCUUGGUGUAGAGUUGAAAUUCGUAGAUAUCAAGCGGAACACCGGUGGCGUAGGCGGCCUUCUGGACGAGUACUGACCCUGAAACGCGAAAACCUUGGGUAGCAAAACAGGAUUAAAUACCCUGGUAAGUCCCCCCCGUAAACGAUGAAGUGCUAGGUGUCAAAGGCUUUAACCUUCUGGUGCCGAAGCUAACGCGUUAAACACUCCCCCUGGGGAAUUACGGCCCCAAGGCU
rnacentral:rRNA from 1 species